rnacentral:rRNA from 1 species
GAUGAACGCUAGCUACAGGCUUAACACAUGCAAGUCGAGGGGAAACGCCAUCGAAAGCUUGCUUUUGAUGGGCGUCGACCGGCGCACGGGUGAGUAACGCGUAUCCAACCUGCCCAUCACUUGGGAAUAACCUUGCGAAAGUAAGACUAAUACCCAAUGACAUCCCACGAAGACAUCUGAAUGGGAUUAAAGAUUUAUCGGUGAUGGAUGGGGAUGCGUCUGAUUAGCUUGUUGGCGGGGUAACGGCCCACCAAGGCAACGAUCAGUAGGGGUUCUGAGAGGAAGGUCCCCCAAAUUGGAACUGAGACACGGUCCAAACUCCUACGGGAGGCAGCAGUGAGGAAUAUUGGUCAAUGGGCGAGAGCCUGAACCAGCCAAGUAGCGUGCAGGAUGACGGCCCUAUGGGUUGUAAACUGCUUUUAUAAGGGAAUAAAGUGGGUCUCGUGAGACUUUUUGCAUGUACCUUAUGAAUAAGGACCGGCUAAUUCCGUG